AGUAUCACCUGGGAACCUGAUAGAAAUACAGAUUCCUGGACCUAAGCAAGACGACUGCGUCAGAAACUCCACAGGAUGACGUAGCACAAACGCCCUUGAUACAUGGGGGCCCCUCGACCUCAGACUUCCCAGCCUCCAGAAUGAAUGAGAAAAAAUGGAAGCCCAGGGAGAUCAAGGGUCUUGUCCAAGGACCACUCUUGUCCAGCAGGAGUGGUCAGGGAUUCCACUCUGGUCAGCCUGAUGGAGCAAAGCAACAUUGUGGACCCCAGAAGGGAGCCACCCUACCUGGAAACUGACUGGUC